UCGUGGAGUGAUUUGUCUGCUUAAUUGCGAUAACGAACGAGACCUUAACCUGCUAAAUAGCCAGGCUAGCUCUGGCUGGUCGCCGGCUUCUUAGAGGGACUAUCGGCUCAAGCCGAUGGAAGUUUGAGGCAAUAACA
rnacentral:rRNA from 1 species